rnacentral:lncRNA from 1 species
AUUGAUAAUGUUGAGGAAUUGCUCCCAAUUGUAUAUACUCCGGUCGUCGGUGAGGCUUGCCAGAAAUAUGGUAGCAUAUUCAAGCGUCCUCAGGGUCUAUACAUUAGUUUGAAAGAGAAGUAUGAAUUUCUUUUUCCUACAUCAGUUUGUAUACAAUUUUAAGUACUACAAUUUUAUUCAUAGCUUUUGUUUAUCAUUUGCAGGGGAAAAAUUCUUGAGGUUUUGAAAAACUGGCCGGAGAGGAGUAUUCAAGUUAUUGUUGUAACUGAUGGUGAGCGGAUUUUGGGACUUGGCGAUCUUGGAUGCCAGGUAUUUCUCAAGGAGAAUCAAACUCCUAAUACCUUAUAUAUUAUUAAUUGAAGUUGUAUUAGUGACAAUUUUACAACCGUUCAUGAGGGAAUUGGAACUCCGUCCCUUGAGGUUUACAAGAUCAGAUUCUUACCAGAGUUGACACCUCAUAGACCUUAUAAUUCAUCGUGAUAUUAUUGUAAAACUAGAUGAGCUUUCCUUGACAAAAUUAUUUAUGAUGUGUGUGCUUCAGGGUAUGGGAAUUCCUGUUGGUAAAUUGGCUUUGUAUACGGCACUAGGAGGAGUUCGUCCUUCAGCAGUAAGCAUUUUCUAUCCAGUGUCUCUCUUCAUUUUAUCAAUGUAUCUUAAAUGAUUUAUGUUCAUUUUUCUUACUUUCUUUUGUUUUUUAUUAUCUUUUUUUUCUUCUGGUGGCCAGUGUUUACCAGUUACAAUUGAUGUGGGAACAAAUAAUGAGAAAUUACUGAAUGACGAGUUCUACAUUGGGCUUAGACAAAAGAGGGCAACUGGGAAGGUUUGUAUAUAUGCCUUUACUCGAAAUCAUUUUAUUAUUUUAGCAUUAUUAUCUUCAUUUAACUUGUAUUUAUGAGGCUACAUUUUGUUGGUUUCUCGUCUUCUUAGGAAUACUAUGACCUUCUGCACGAGUUCAUGAGUGCAGUGAAGCAAAACUACGGCGAAAAAGUUCUUGUUCAGGUUGAUAAAAGUUUAAAGCUUAGUUUAUGUGGCUCUUGAACCUGUUUUGUCCAUUUUUGGCAUGUGUCUGAUUAUUUUGAAUGACGUGUUCAGUUUGAAGAUUUUGCAAAUCACAAUGCUUUUGAGUUGCUUGCAAAAUACGGUACAACUCAUCUUGUUUUCAAUGACGAUAUACAGGUAUUGUAUCUCACAAAAACUGGCACAUAUUUCUUCAAAUUUGUUAGUAUGUUUUAUUUUUUGAAACGAGAGUAUGUUCUAAUUAUUAAUGCAUUUAUUUUCACAGGGGACUGCAGCUGUUGUUCUAGCUGGAGUUGUAGCAGCCCUGAAGCUCAUUGGUGGUACCCUACCUGACCAUAAAUUCCUCUUCCUUGGUGCUGGAGAAGUAAGACCAUAAUCUAUUUCCUCUCUUAUUUGUACGUGAUAAGUUCUAUCGAUGCUUCUUGUCAUGCUGCUGAAGUAAGGCUGUAAUCUGUUUUCCCUACAUUAGUUUGUCUAACUAACUCAUUUUUGGUUAUGUUUUCAGGCAGGAACUGGUAUAGCAGAGCUAAUUGCUCUUGAGAUAUCAAAACAGGUGAAUCAGAUAUUCAUUGUUUCUAUACCAGUAACCCUGGUUUCUUUAAUUUCUUUUCUUUCUCUUUUUUUUAAAAAAAAUUUCAAUUGGUGAUGUUGUUCUAUUUAUUUCUGUUGUUUAUGCUGCAGACUAAAGCACCUAUUGAAGAGAGUCGUAAGCAGAUAUGGCUGGUAGACUCAAAGGUAGUGGAAAGCAUGAUAAGUUUCCAUGGAAAAUAUUAAUUUGAAGAUUCAUUUUGUCAAAAUUUUAAUUUGAUUCAUUUUUUCCCCUAAAAUACUUAUUUAUUCUGCUACAGGGUUUAAUUGUUAGUUCACGUGCGAAUUCACUUCAACACUUCAAGAAGCCUUGGGCUCACGAACACGAGCCUGUUGGCACUCUCAUAGAGGCCGUUAAGGUAUUAAAAUAUAUCUUUUCAUGACUUGUAAUAGGUUGCCUUUAGACACAUUCUUAUCCAUAAUGUCCUUAAAAUUUCAGGUAAUCAAGCCUACAGUUCUGAUUGGAUCAUCAGGAGUGGGGAAAACAUUUACAAAGGAAGUAGUUGAGGCCAUGACAGCAAACAAUAAAGUAAAAUCUUAUCUUACUCUCUCUUGUUAUGUGUAUUUAUAUAAAAAAAUCAAAUAGGAAGUUAAGAAAUAUACCUCCAUCAUGCCUGGCCUGCAGAUUCCUCUCAUUUUGGCUCUUUCCAACCCAACCUCACAAUCUGAGUGUACAGCUGAAGAGGCAUACACAUGGAGCGAGGUAAAAUAACAGAUGACCGCAUCUCUUCUCUAUACCUGGUUAAGUCUUGAUCUUCUUUGAUUCAAGUUAUUGUUGAUACUCCUUAUAAAAUUUGUUUGCUCAUUUCCGAAA